CGAAGCUUUACAUGAGUACUAGGAGGGGGUAGACAACCUCCCCUGCUUUCUAAACCUGGUUUUAAAGGAGGGGCUGGGAACUGGGUGACCCUGUUUUGACAGAGCCCUGUUUGAGAGCUUGCCAAGGUUUCACAUGGUAGUGCUAACCCUGCCUUCAGACCUCAAGCCCUGUUUUUGCUGGUCGUGAGAAUAGCCUCAAUCAGGUGGCUGGGGCACUUGGCUGCUCUUCAGGGAUGUUUCUGGUUUUGGGUCCUGUACCCUAGAACCAGGCAGGAAUGGGCAACAAACAUCAACAGGAAGAUAUCCCAGCCUGUUCCCCAUGGGUUUGAGAUGCAUAGGUCUUGGGUCACCCAGCUACCUGUUCAAAGUCUUUUGCAUAUAUGUUACACUGUUUCCUUAAUAAAGUUGUGGCCAGGCAUGCACCACAUGUAUGGUCUUUGUUGAUCGCAAUGCAAUAAAUAUGCCUAAUGGUGACCAUCCGAACCAGCCCAUAUACUUUUUAGAGCAUGAAAAGUGUGAAUAUAUUUUUCUUCCACUAUAUCCUUAAAUAAAUGGGGAACCAGUUUUCUUUUUUGCAAACUUGUUUCACACAGCCCUCGAUAGCAGUUCAGAUAAGAAGCUAGAAUCCUCCCUGGAGACAUAUUUUUACUCUAUUAAAGUGUGUGAGAAUUUCUCAGUCCUAACCUUUCUUCCAUAUAUUCCAUUUCCUUUUCUACUACCACCUGCAGCACUAUAAACGGAAAAGACUUGCAUGAUGGAAGCCAUCUGUACAGUAACUCAUCUCAUCAAAGUGCUGAAGAGCUGUUCCAGGACGAAGUCUCCGGCAAAGCGGGCCAGAGUCCUCGUCUUGGGCCACUCUUUUAUAUUUUGGGCCCUCAAGUGGGCUCAAGGCACAGAUCCAGGAACACAAAUGGGCCUGAGGUGUUGGGCCUCAGUCGAGUGGCGUGGGCGGCGGGGUAUGAGAAGGGCCCAGCUGCUCCCGAUGCUGUGGAUCUUCACUGGGAGCUUCUCCUGCCUCUAUCUAUUCAGCCUGCAUUCCAUUCCUGCUCUGUGCCAUCCAGAAUGGAAGAUGCAAAUAUACCACCCUGAGCCACUUUAUGCAAAACCCUCUGCUUGACAUCUCAGACCCUGCUCAUGGCCCCACCACUAACAGAGAUCCAGUAGGCAGGGACUAGA